rnacentral:lncRNA from 1 species
AAUGUUUCUAUGCAAUUUAAAUAAAAGAAAUCUCUGGAGAAAAAAAAAAUCUCUUUAUCACAAUCUAUGUUGUACCCAAAACUGAUAUAACUUAACAAAGAAAAGACCAAGCCCCCGUUCAGGAAUGUGCCAUUGGUAAAGGGCAAAUCCUGAGAGGAGCUACAGGGUAGCUCAGAGACAGGUGGGCAGAGCAAUUCUACAGAAGGCAGAUGUGAUCCAUGGCAUGGCUACUGCACGCCCAGCAGGAGUCGAAGCAGCAGGAGAUGCUGUGCUGGUGGCUGGGCCAUCAAAAUGAGGCCUCUGAGGCUGGCUUCACAGUCCAGUUGUGAAAUGUGCACGACCCACAUCUCACGUGUCAUUUAUUAAUGCAGUAUAUUCACUGACUGUGUGCCAGGCUCUGCAGAUAAUGUGGCAACCAAGAUAGACUCUGCCCCCAUGCUCAUGGAUUUAUUGUCCAAAGAUGAGACAGACGCAGAGAUGCUGACAUCACAGCUGGUCAAGGUGGGACAGGGGAGAGGCAGACAGAUGGGUCAAGGCUGGGAUGGGAGAAACCCCAGGAGCUGUGGAAGCUCAGAACGGGCCCCCCACCCACCCUGGGGGACCAAGGGGGCUUCCUAAAGGAGACACCUUUACUGAGACCUGAACAGUGUAUGGAAUUAGUUGUGGGGAGGUGGGUGAAAGAAGGGUGCUCCAAAAAGAGGGAGAAGCACGUACAAAUGCCCACAGGUGACAGGGAGUCGGGAGUGUUCUAGACCAGCAUGAUCCAACAGAAGAGUAACACGAGCCAUACAUGUGAGCUGCAAAGCUAAUUAAACAUUUUCUAAUAGCCCAAUUAAAAAAACCAUAAAAUUAAUUGUAAUUUUAAUAAUAUAUUUUAUUUAACUCAAUAUAUCCAAAAUAUUACCAUAUCAGUAUGUGAUCAAUAUAAAACAUUUUUUUUGUACCAAGUCUUUAACUCUGGUGGGUAUUUAUGCUUAAAAUAUAUCUCAAGUCACACGAGCCACAUUUCAAGUGCCCAGGAGCCACAUGUGGCCAGUGGCUCCUGUACUGUACUGAAGAGCAGGGCAACACCUUUGCUACUCAAAGCCUUGGCAUCAUUUGGGAGCUUGAAAUGCAGAAUCUCAGGCCCCUUCCUCAACCCACCGAAGCGGAAUCUACAUUCAAAAUCCCAGAUGCACAUCAGAGUUUGAGAGAAAUGGGUCCAGUUCUGCCUAAAAUACUUCUGUGGCUUCCUACUGCCCUCAUGAUAAAUGUCCAGCUAUUGAGGUUGGCAAUCAUUCAUUCACUCCUUCAUUUACUCAUUCAUUCAGCGCAUGGUUACUGAGCACCUACUGAGUGCCAGGCCCUGUGCUGGGUGAUGUUGAGGACUCACCGACGGUACAGACAGACCUGAUUCUGACCCUGCUGGAACUCCCAGACAGUUAAUAAAUGAGUAGCCAAAUCACUGUUUCAUUUGGACUAUGUGAAACAUAAUAUGCUUAAUGUGAAUUUGCAGUGUACAAGGAGUGUCAGGGAAGGUCUGACCCGAUUUGAGUGGAAAGGGAUCCAGAAAAAUAACCCAAAUAAGGGAAGAGGCAUUCAGAAUGAGGCCCAUGGCUCCCUCUGAGAACCUGGAGCCUGGAGGGGCCACCCCUGAGACAAAGGCUGAGAGAGCAUGUUUGGAAUCUGGGACAUGGUGAGUGUUAAGGGCCCAAGGAUUGCCCAGUUGGGAUUGGGGGAUUGUCCAUGAGGCCUCCGGAUCCUCCAGGUCUAGGGCUCAGAGUAGAGGUCAGGGCUAAGGACAGAGUGUGUCAUCUGCACAGAGAUAGGAAACAGACCAUGAAAGAGGGUAAGGUGGCCCCAAGGUGAGAAGAGAGAACAUAGCCCCACCACAUUUAACAGACUGGUGAAAACAGAGGAGCCCGCAAGGAAGCAAAACGUAGAGGAAAUGUCAGGGGAUAGCAGACUCACAGAAACUAAGGGGAGGGUGUGCUCACAGAAGGCAGGCAGGGUCACCACAGCCGAUUUUUGCCAAGAUGACCAAUAAGAUGAGCACCAAAAAGAGCCCACUGAGCCAGGCUUCUCACUGGCAGAGGAAGGAGUUAUAAAGAAAGCAAGGGGGGGAUGGUGAGAAUGAACCCUCUGGUACUAGACUAGUGUCAGAGUAUCAGUAUGAACUCAUGCUUAUUUUUACACACCAUUCUCCAAUGAAAAGAACCAGUGACUCUAGAGGAAGAGCUAAUUCUAGGGCUGGUGCAGGGAGAAUACAUGAGCCUGGAAUAUCUUGCAGUGCCAGAAAGUAAGAAGGUGUUGGAGAAAAAAAAAAGAGUAAAGAACACAGGAGCCAACCUGAAAGAUAAACGCUGAUGGCCAAGGCUAAAACAACUUGAGCAAAAAAAAAAUUGAUUACAAUAAUGUUGGGGUAUGCCCAACUAAUAAAUAUUCAUGAGUCCACACGGAAAUAAACUAAUGAUUGUAUAAAUAAAAUAAGUGAAGUAUGAUAGAAGGGACAAAUCUUCCAUAUGGAAUUCUAAAUAGUAAAUGUAAAGAAAUGAGGGAAACAGAAAGUCAUCAUUAUAAUAUCACGGUAAUAACUGCUACAGACCGGGUCCACUGAUGAAUGCUAAAAUGUGUGGGUAAACUUGAAGGAGAAAUGGGAUAUUUGUGCAGCCUCCAAGUAUCUCCCUAUUUCCCUCCAGGAAUCAGGCUUAGCUCUCCUCUGAGUGUGGGCUGGAUUUAGUGACUUGCUUCUAACAAAUGAGUAAAGGGAAAAUAGUGGUAUUAUCGUUGGGAAAUCUGCAGACACCACUUUCAUGAAGUGAUCAGGUUAACCUCACCUCAGUGAGCAUUCUUCCCAAAGCCUAAAAUCCCAGUCUAACCACGAGCAAAAUGUCAGACAACCUCAGACUGAGGGCCAUUCUACAAAAACAUCUCACCAGUACUCCUCAGAACUGUCAAGGUCAUGAAAAACAAGGAAGGACUGAGAAAUUGUCACAGAUUGGAGGAGGCCAACGAGAAAUGACCAACAAAUGCAACAUGGUAUCCUGGAUUGGAUCCUGGAACAGAAAAAGGACAUUAAUGGAAAAACAGGAGAAAUAGGAUUCAAGUCUGGAGUUUAACAGAAUAUUAAUCCAUGUUAAUUUCUCAGUUUUGACAAAUAUACAAUAAUUAUGUAAGAUGCUAACACUAGGUGGAAGUUGGGUGUAGGUAUAGGGAAGUCCCUGUAUCAUCUUUGCAACUUGUCUGUAAAUCUAAAAUUAUUAAAUUUUAAAACGUUCACAAAACUUUAAGUCUCCUCUGCAAUAUGGCUCGAGGUGGUCCCCCGCGGAGUUCCAAAGCACGCUUUGUUUGACUCAUCCUUCAGAUCUCAUCUUACAUGCUCCCCACGCCAGGAAGUCCCACCUGACACCACAGACUGGGUCAGGAGCUGCCUCUGGCUCCCACAGUCCCCCUGUGGCUCCCCUAUCCUGGCCCCAACCCCUCUGCCUCCCCAUCCCAGCCCUGGUCACUGUCUGCCGUUGGGGUUGUCUUCCCCACUGGACUGUGAGCUUUGCGAGGGCAAGGUGGAGGCUGUCUCAGCCAUUGCUGUGUCUCAGCCAUUGCUGUGUCUCUCUUGAGUUGAGAGUAAUGCGUGUCUCCCUGACUCCUCUGGGAAUACCCAUGAACAGGCAGAAGCUGCGCCUGAAUCCUCCCAACUGACCCUUAACGCUUCACAGCCCAAGGCCUGCCAGAUCCACCUUCCUGGUAUCCCCUUUCCUGUUUGCUCAAUCCAGGACACAUCUGAGGCAAUAUAAAUGGUCUGUCUCACCCAUCAGCCAAAAGAGGGUCAAAUCAUCUCCAACCCCUGCCACACCUGCCCACCCACAUGUCCGCCCUGUACACCAAGUGUCAGAAACACAUGGUGACUGUGAAUGUUUGGGGGGCCUGCCCAGUCCACAGCCCUUCUGAGCAGACAGUCAUCACUAUAGGAACCCUCCAGCUCCAGUGAGUUGAGCAGGGUUGGAUACCCGACCCUGGAAAUCCCAUUCCUAUCUGGGAAAUUCGGAAUGAAGACUGAGGGUCUGCGGACGCCCCGGCUUAUUAGGGCACCUGUUUCCCAGAGACAGGCCAGAGCUGAACCUUUACCCUUUCAGGGUCUAUUUACCCAGGAAAAGGCAAAUGUAGGCCAGGAUCCUGUCCACGAUCUAUCUAGAAUGCUGAUGCCCCAGACCUGCAGACUCAUGCCUGCAACACGCGCCACAGCUUCCCCACGAGACGUCUCCACACCAGAGCUCCUCCAGCACCCCCUCCGCAAACCCCCUUCCCCACCAUGCCUCUGAGGGUCGGGUGAGGGGAGCCGAGGCCCUGCAAACGCUCAGGCAGGCAUGUGAGAAAGCUCUUUACUGGGGGUACAGCGAGGAGGAGCAAGGCCAUCUCCCCCUACCUGCCCCCACCCCCUCCUA